UCAGGGUCUUGAAGAGCUGAAGUGCUGCAUUUCCUUGGGGAAAGUCUCUCCUCAGAGUGAUCUCUUUCCAUAGCAAUAACUGCAUUUCCACUGUGUGGAUGAAUUUUCGAAAAAUUGAAGAAUAAACGAAAAGGGAAUUGCCAGUUCACAAGCUGCACUAUGAGAUGAUCGCGUUCUGAUUAACUGUCAGCCAACAAACAAGAUUUGGAGCUAAAUGCAUUCCACACUGCCAGAUGUACUGCAAACACGAAUCUCCUGCACAGGGUGAGCAUCUCCUCAGAAAUGGAGUGGAGUAAAUGGAUUGCUGUUCAGAUCACAUCACCAUGCCACAUUUGUUAUGCG